rnacentral:rRNA from 1 species
AAACCAGACUCCUACGGGAGGCAGCAGUGGGGAAUAUUGCACAAUGGGGGAAACCCUGAUGCAGCGACGCCGCGUGAGUGAAGAAGUAUUUCGGUACGUAAAGCUCUAUCAGCAGGGAAGAAAGAAAGUCCUUUGGACUUUGGACGGUACCUGACCAAGAAGCCCCGGCUAACUACGUGCCAGCAGCCGCGGUAAUACGGAGGAUGCGAGCGUUAUCCGGAUUUAUUGGGUUUAAAGGGUGCGUAGGCGGAAUAUCAAGUCAGCGGUAAAAAUUCGGGGCUCAACCCCGUCGUGCCGUUGAAACUGAUGUUCUUGAGUGGGCGAGAAGUAUGCGGAAUGCGUGGUGUAGCGGUGAAAUGCAUAGAUAUCACGCAGAACUCCGAUUGCGAAGGCAGCAUACCGGCGCCCAACUGACGCUGAAGCACGAAAGCGUGGGUAUCGAACAGGAUUAGAUACCCGCGUAA